rnacentral:lncRNA from 1 species
AAAUAAAUGUUUAUUACAAUCCAUUUACAAUACAUGGCCCACUAACCCGUAGGCCCAAAAUCAAUUGGACUAAACCUUAUGCCCGGUUACAACCUAGCAAGCCUAAAAUUACCCAGCAGACCUAGUUACACCCUCGACCCAAAGCACACAAAGCCCAAACGGCCCAAGAUGUUAACAAAAUACGGGUAUCAGAAACCCUAGGUGCCGCAACCAUCCUAAAAGACGCGCCUUUUCAAAUUGCGUCAUUCCAGUAGCCACUAUCAGCGCCGUGGUUCCAGUCCCCAUGUCACGCCACAAUCAGCGCAUGGAUCAUGACCCACCGCCAAAGAUUGUGUCAUUAACCUGCAAGAAAAGGAAAGAAGCAAGCAAAUCAAGAAUCAAAAUCGAGGUUUAUUUUUAUUUCUAAGAUUUAUUUGUAAACAAUAUAAAUGGAUGUAAAAAUACGGUGUAAAAGGGGGGGAUUUUUUUUAUAGAAAUAAAAUAGAUACAGAUAUUACCCACAGAAGAAAUAAGAAAUAGAGUUUAUUUUAGAAGGUGAUUUUUUAUCUCAUAUUUCAUUUAUUUUCUCUUUUCUUAGACGAAUAUACAAAAUGUUUUUUUUUUAAAAACUAGUAACAUUCAAAAGAAAAGGAGUUACCUGUGAAAGGACGAAGGUUUUUAAACCCUCACACCACCACGUACGACAGCGCGUGAGGCACGUGUGCAGGCACUGCACUGUAGUCGGAGACCGAAGGCCAGACUACC